AUUGAACGCUGGCGGCAGGCCUAACACAUGCAAGUCGAACGAGUGGCGGACGGGUGAGUACUGUCUGGGACACUGCCUGAUGGAGGGGGAUAACUACUGGAAACGGUAGCUAAUACCGCAUACCAUCGGAUGUGCCCAGAUGGGAUUAGCUAGUAGGUGGGGUAAAGGCUCACCUAGGCGCCGAUCCCUAGCUGGUCUGAGAGGAUGACGAGACACACUGGGACUGAGACACGGGCCAGACGCCUACGGGAGGCAGCAGUGGGGAAUAGUGAACAAUGGGGGCAAGCCGGAUGCAGCCAUGCGGCGUGUAUGAAGAAGGCCUUCGUGUUGUAAAGUACUUACAGCGGGGAGGCGUUACCCGCAGAAGAAGCACCGGCUAACUCCGUGCCAGCAGCCGCGGUAAUUC
rnacentral:rRNA from 1 species